rfam:Halomonas ilicicola DSM 19980 genome assembly, contig: EJ56DRAFT_scaffold00032.32
GUUCGCUGCCGCCCAGGCAGCUCAGAAA